ensembl:lncRNA
GGGGUCUGGAGAUUUGGCAACCAUCUUAGGACAAUGAGACAACAAGCAGGGGAUGAGGCUUAUGCAUUAAAAACAAAAGAUUAGAAAGCUGGAAAGAUCCCUGUUCCCUGUUUCAUCUGAGAAUUGCUAUUCCCAGGUUUCCUGAGACAAAUCCCUUAUGUGUUUAAGCCACUAAGGUUGGGUUUUCGGUUAUUUGCAGCUGGAUGUGAUCCUGACUGAAAGAGGGAAGGAGACCAGUUAGGAAACUAAUACAGUCAUUUAUAAGUGACUCAAAUGGGGGCAGAAGAAGAGGGGAUUGGGCAGAGAAGAUGGAUUGAAGAUGUGAAUGUGGUGAUGUAUGUGUUCAGUCAAGUCUCAAAUAGAAUGGAUGGAAUCUAAUUCAAGUACCCUUGAAAACUAUUCCUAGUCCUGAGAUGUCAGGGAACUCAGUAAGAACACCUGGAAAGCAUGGGGUGGGAGGGAGCAGAAAGGGAAUGUGCAGGGUCUCAAAGACUAACCUCACAAUUUCCUUUUAUUAUUAAAAAAAUUGCAGGAUCCAUAUACACAUUUGAGAAAACUCAGUUAAGCAAAAACUAUCUGUGAAGCAAAUUAAAAUCCUAUCAUCUAGAGAUAAUAAUUACUGCUAAAAUUUUUAUUAUUUCUUUCCAGUCCCCAUUUACUCUCUCUUUUUCUGUCAAUCUUGCCGCUUAAAUGAUUAAGAGAUUUUAUACAUGAUUUGUUCAACAAAAAUGUGAUCAUAAUAUAUAUUGUUUUCUACCCUGUCCAACUUUUUGCAUUUGGCAAUGCAUCUGGAAAGUCUUCCCAUGUCUUUGGUAAAAUUAAUACCGAAUACUAAAAUUGUAAAAUUAAUACAAUUGUGACUACAGGAAAAGUGUUUCAUUAUGUGGAUCUAUCUAUUGUGAUUUAGAAGUUGAACUUUUCAAAGGUUUUAUUAUCUCGAAUAUCACACCACUUUUUGGAUGUGGUGGGGGAACCCUUGAAGGUGAUUCUGAGAUGGAAGGUGAGGUAGCAUUAGCCCUGACAUCAGCUUUAAUGAGAUGAUAGCUUGUUCAGGCUGUGAUUGGUUGAAAAUUUCUGCAAAUAUUUAUAUUAUUUUUAUUUUGCAAACUUGUUCUUCAUGUUGAGGAACCAGAUUCUAAAACUAUCAGCUUACUAAUUAGGAUAAAGGAGGACUUAUCGCAUAACAGUAGCCUUGACAUGUAUUGACUUUUCUGUAACACACUAAACUUCUCUGCAAUCAGGGAAAGCGUGAAGUCUGUAUCUGCAGGAAUCUUAUAAAGGAUGCAAAAAAGGCAACCACCAGGUAGCCUGGCAUUUCCGCAGCGAGCAGGGUUCGAACCUGCGCGGGGAGACCCCAUUGGAUUUCAAGUCCAACGCCUUAACCACUCGGCCAUCGCUGCUACGGCAAGAAAGUGAAGGCGGAGAUACUUUAGUACAGAAACAGUGGUGCGCAGGCGCAGCAAACCCACAAGUAGGCGGGGCCUAGAACCGCGCAGAGGUCUGCUCUGAGAGGGGCGACUAGGGUUGCCUGCUCGAGUAGCGGGAUACCUAUUGAAAGUAAAGAAAUAAUAAAAACUCCGUUUAGCAGUUUAGGUAAAAGCCUUUAAAAGAGGGUUUUAGAAACCCUUCCCUUACCUGCUCUCUGAAAAUCGCAACCACACUUGGCUUCUGGUCCCUUACUUGGUUUUUGCCCUCCCGCUUCCUCGGAAAGCUGUGAAACUAAGAUUAGAUCACUCGGAAAGCUGUGAAACUAAGAUACGUCUCAUUCAGUGCUGCGGGCCCGCACUCUGGAAAAUUUCUGCAUUUGCGUCAGAGGUUGAGCGUUUCCCGCGUUGAGCUCUCUUGCUGCGUCAAGAGAGGAAAGUGUGAGGGAAGGCGUACGGAAUCUGGCAGCUGCCUAUGCGCUCGCCUCUUUGAGCAUCCUGCUCACACAGUAAUCUCUCAUUCUUGUCUCCUCAAUUGCCCUUUCCUUGCUGAACCCUAGGGAAGAAACCGCGCCCCCUGAGCGUGGUCUCGGCUUUCUCAAGUGAUGGGGAGCCUUGGAGGUGAUUUGAGAACAAAGUUCGGCGCAUUAGGUCUGCAUUUAACCUUUAAAUGCUACUACCCGCCCCACCUUUAAGUGUAGCUUAUGCUCUAAAUGCUUAUUUGCGUCAUUGUUAAAGUUCUCAGAACCCGUAGUUGUGUGUACCACUGUCGCCCACCUCAGAGAGCUACGGCAGGGUGUGCGGCCCGAGGAUGCCCCGCGGAUUCCAGGGCGCAAGUGUACUUCUAAACGCAGCAAGUGGCUCCCCACAGGCAUCAGAUUCUAUUGCGGAUGGACAAUUUGCGAAAAACAUCAGGUGGCCUUUUACUAGUUAAAUUUCUGAAAGUGUUCCUAGAAAUCUGACCAUCCAUCGCAACGUUAGAUUUCAAACGAAGGCAGGAAGUCCGUAUGUUAAGUGACCUCAUUUGGUAGUUUGGGAAUUUUCUUGAGAUUUUUUUCAAUACCAUUUCUCUUAACUAAAUGAAGGUGCUAAGUGUCUAAACUGAUUUAAUUGUGGAAAGGGAGUAAAAUACUUGAGAAAUGUAAGAAUAAGUUUUAUCUAACUUAAGAUUUUGCUUUUUAGAAAUUUUACCCCUUUUUGUUUGUUUUUAAUUUGGCAGAGCUACACGGGUGGUCUCAAUUUCCUUAUGAAUACUGUAUGGGAGCAAAGUUAUUCCCGACAUUCAAAGGCAUGAUUUUUUAUCAUAUGUAUAAAGUUACCUGCACUUUUCCAGUAGAUGCCAUCUCAGAAGAGAGUUUUUUUUUUUUAAUGUUGUUCUUAGAUUCUACCUGUGUGCUGAGACAAGCUAUAAUUUAAUCUUAGUAUUUUACUGUAUCUUGGUUUUUUUUUUUUCUUUUCUCUUUUUAGGGUCUCACCUGCAGCAUAUGGAAGUUCCCAGGUUAGGGGUGGAAUUGGAGCUACAGCUGCUGGCCUAGGUCACAGCCACUGCAACAUGGGAUCUGAGCUGCCUCUGUAACCUACACCACAGCUCAUGGCAACUCUGGAUCCUUGACUCACUGAGCAAGGCCCGGGAUUGAACAUGCAUCCUUAUAGAUACAAGUUGCAUUCAUUUCCCCUGAGCCACAGUGGAAACUCCCGUUUCUUUUUAAUUUUACUUUAUUUUUAUUAUAAUAUAGUUGAUUUUCCAUGUUGUGUUAAUUUAUACUGUACAGCAUAGUGACCCAGUCAUUUGUGUGUGUGUGUGUGUGUGUGUGUGUGUGUGUGUGUGUAUGUAUCCUUUUUCUCAUACUAUCUUCCAUCAUGUUCCAUCCCAAGAGAUUGGGUAUAGUUCCCUGUGCUGUACAGUAGGAAGUCAUUGCCACCCUUCCCCUUGACAACCACAAGUCUAUUUUCUAUAUGUCUGUGAGUCUGUUUCUACUUUGUAGAUAUGUGCUAUGUUUUAGAUUUGUGCUAUGUUUUAGAUUCUACAUGUAAGUGAUACCAUGUGGUAUUUGUCUUUCUCUUUCUGACUUCACUUAGUAUGAGAAUCUCUAGUUGCAUGUAUCUUAAUUUUGAAGUCUUUCUUUAAUUCCUUUCUUCUGUAUAUUUGAAGGAUAAUAUUUACAGAAAGUUCUUACUCUUCCUUAACCUACUCUUCGUUUUAAGAAUUCUCCUCACUUGGCGAUUGCCUUGUGGUACAUGGGAAGGAAUCUGACUAGGAACCAUGAGGUUGUGGGUUUGAUCCCUGGGCUUGCUCAGUGGGUUAAGGAUCCAGCGUUGCCUUGAGCUGGAGCCGUGGUGUAGGUCGCAUCCGUAGUUGGUGCUGAUGUGGCUGUGGCAUAGGGCGGCAGCUGUAGCUCCGACUGGACCCCUCGCCUGGGAAUCUCCAUGUGCCCCAAGUGCAGCCCUGAAAAGCGAGAAAAAAAAAAAAUUCUCUUCACAAUUGCUUAAAAGCUUGGCAUUGAUGGGAAUUGAUUUCGAUUAAAGUAGUUCCAUCAAAAAUUCUACUGAGGGCUUUUUUCUUUUUUUGUUUUUUGAUAAGGGAAAAGAAAACUGCAAAAGAAAUGAAUCUAUUAGAAAGUUAAUUUGUAUUUGGUAAGAACAAUUGUGAUUACAUUUUCUUUGCAACAUUUCAGAAGUGAAAUAUCCUCAUUUAACAUUUAAUUUUCAGCUUCUUUGAAUUAAUGUAGGCUUUUCAAAAAGAUGAAAUUGCCUUUUCAAAUGAUUUAUCAUAUUGCUAAAAUGAGCCAAGAGAUCAGAAUUAUUAUAGAUUUUAUUCUCAAAAAGUGUGGAUUUCCAAAUGAGUUAUUUUCCAACCUUAGGUCUUUAGCAUUGCCAUUUAAUGCAGUGAGUGGCAAGUAAGAAAAAAAGAAGUAAAAUAUAUAUCUUCCAACCCAGUUAUAAAUAUAUUGUCAUUCAUGACAAUAACACCAUAAAACAUUGACUUAAAACCAUGGACAUUUUACUUUGAAAAAGUCCCCUGUGAUUCUGGUUGCCUUCUCCUCCAUGCCACCCCUAGAUUCUGUUCUUUUAAAUGAUAGUUUUUUUUUGUUAGUUUGUUUUUGUCUUUUUAGGGCCACACCUGAAUCAUGUGGAAGUUCCCAGGCUAGGGGCUGAGUCAGAGCCACAGCUGCCAGCCUACACCACAGCCAUCACAACGUGGGAUCUGAGCUGUGUCUGUGACCUACACCACAGCUCAUGGCAUUGCUGGAUCCUUAGCCUGAUGAGCGAGGCCAGGGAUCGAACUUUUAUCCUCAUGGAUACUGGUCAGAUUUGUUUCCCCUGAGCCACAGCAGGAACUCCUUUAUGUGAUAGUUUUUAUUAAGUUAAUUUGGGUAAGGAAGGCAAAUAUUGGUAGCCUUCACUCAAAAGCUUUCCCAAUGCCACUCUCAGAGGCAGAAUAUUGAGAGGUACGGGCGUGUGUUUAGGAGCAGUGUGGGGCAUUUCUUUGUUCUUUUAUAGCAAAUCAAAACUUAUUUUGCAAUAUUUUGGUGGGCUUUUCCCUGGAAUUUUAAUAAAUCAGAGUUUUAAUACUGGAAGAAACAUUAAACCUAGUCUAAUCCCUUUAUUCACAGAUAGGAAACUAUUGGCUGUGAGUUACUUGCCCAAGGUCACAUAGCUAAUUAGUGGCAGAUUCAAUGAGAGGUGAUCAGAAUGUGGAAAUUUUAACUUAGCUGCCUUGUGUGCUUUCGUGCUUCAUUUGAAAGGAAUAGAGUUGGCAACACUGCAGAGUUUGAUAGGCUUAGCUACCAUUCAAGAUUCUUGGAUUUAAUUUUAUAUUGACUGGAGAAUAACUCUAGAUAUCCAUUUGUGACAAUGUAUGUGAGGGGCUUAGUUCAGAUUGGCCAAAAAAAAAAAAAAAAAAAA